AUUGUUUCUUGGUUUCCUGGAGCUAAGAUCAAAGGAUAGUGUCUGUUCUGAUCAGUGUAAUCUGUGAUAUGUCUUUGAUGUGAGGAUUAUCUAUUAGCUUGAUUUUUGAAAUGAGAAGGUUAGUUAGAAUAGAAGCUGGUUUUGUCUACUUCAUGUAUUGACUAGGUAUUGCAGUGUCUCCAGCAGUGGUGUAUCUCUA